AUUGAACGCUGGCGGCAGGCCUAACACAUGCAAGUCGAACGAGAGGCGGACGGGUGAGUAAUGUAUGGGAAACUGCCUGAUGGAGGGAGUUAACGACUGGAAACGGUAGCUAAUACCGCAUACCAUCAGAUGUGCCCAGAUGGGAUUAGCUUGUUGGUUGGGUAACGCCACACAACGGCGACGAUCCCUAGCUGGUCUGAGAGGAUGACCAGCCACACUGGAACUGAGACACGGUCCAGACUCCGACGGGAGGCAGCAGUGGGGAAUAUUGCACAAUGGGCGAAAGCAUGAUGCAGCAAUGCCGCGUCGAUGAAGAAGGUCUUCGGGUUGUAAAGCACUUUCAGCGGGGAGGCGUUACCCGAAGAAGAAGCACCGGCUAACUCCGUGCCAGCCGCCGCGGUAAUUC
rnacentral:rRNA from 1 species